UACGGAGGGUGCAAGCGUUAUCCGGAUUCACUGGGUUAAAGGGUGCGUAGGCGGGUUGGUAAGUCCGUGGUGAAAUCUCCGAGCUUAACUCGGAAACUGCCGUGGAUACUAUCAAUCUUGAAUAUCGUGGAGGUAAGCGGAAUAUGUCAUGUGAGCGGUGAAAUGCUAGAGAUGACAUAGAACACCAAUUGCGUAGGCAGCUUACUACACGAUCAUUGACGCUGAGGCACGAAAGCGUGGGGAGCAAACAGG
rnacentral:rRNA from 1 species